CAAGUAAGGUUGCAAGAUGUGGUAGCAUGGUGACAAUGUCCUUUCCUUCCAAAAUUUAAGCAACUUAAGGCAUGGCUUCUUGUACUACUGGUUUUUAGGCUGCAAGUGAGGCUCACCAUGACAGAAAAAUUGCUGCACAAUUGCUGUCCUUUUGAGGUACAAGGCAAGGCAUGGUGGAUGCAAGGACAAGUAUGGUGCAAUUGUAACUUUCUUACAAUUCAAGCAACCAAG
rnacentral:lncRNA from 1 species